CUUUUCAACUGAUUAUACGUUUUGGUAAGUGACAAAAUCAUUGGCAAGCUAUCUAACACAACAACAAAUGGAAGACCAUAAUACAACGCUUAAUUAGUUAUUUCUUAUUGGAGGACUAAUUGGUAGAAAAUGAAAAUGAAUGAAUUUUAAUAUGGGCAAAUACAAAUAUACUUAACCCACAGUCCUCAUCAUUUUAACAAAUUCAUCGUAAUUAACUUGACCGUCACCGUCCAAAUCAGCCUCCUUAAUCAUCUGCUCCACCUCUUCAUCGGUUAGCUUUUCCCCUAAAUUGAUCAUCACAUGCCUCAACUCAUUAGCUGAUAUAUACCCAUUCUGAUCCUUGUCAAACACUUUGAAAGCCUCUUUAAGUUCUUCCUCUGCAUCAGUCUCCUUCAUUUUUUUGGCCAUCAGGUUCAAGAAUUCAGCAAAUUCAAUAGUGCCAUUUCCAUCAGCAUCCACUUCACUAAUCAUGUCCUGGAGUUCUUCUUCAGUCGGAUUUUGAUCCAAAGACUUAAUCACCGUCGCCAAUUCCUCCACAGUAAUGCAUCCAUCUCCAUCCUUGUCGAACAAACAGAAGGCUUCUUUAAACUCAACAAUCUGUUCCUCAGUGAGUGCGUCUGCCAUUUCUUGAAUCUUCAAAUUCAAUUCUUCAAGUUCUUGAGAGAGAGAGAAA
rnacentral:misc_RNA from 1 species